rfam:Agrilus planipennis Contig24343, whole genome shotgun sequence.
AAGUAGAUAAGGAUAUUUUCCAUAAGCGUUCCUGCCGUACUUUCCGAUUCGGCUGAAGAGGACCCUAGUUGGUCCUAAAACGGCCUGAGGUAGAAGGGUUUUAGUCGGUAGGUCCGAGGACUUCUUCCUCGGGAAUCCGACACUACCCAGUCGUACGGACGGCUGGGUGUCUUCUGAACAUUUCCCCUCUUCCACGAAA